ACGAUUACACGACCUCCUUACCUCUAAUGACUUCGCUUUGAGUUCCCCCUCAUGCAAUUGGCUCAGACACCUGCCAAUCAUCCUGCAGAGGAGCCGCUCGUCUGGCGUCAGCCUCGCCCUGAGAGACGACCAGCAAGAGCAAAGGUCUGAAAGCACUGACUUCGCCUCUCACGGGCAUCACUUGAAGGCUGCUCGGCUUGGUCCAUGCCCACCAUGACGCACCAAAAGUUUACGUGGAAGUGACGGACUUGUCCAGCUGCUGAAGUAAAACUGAAACACAAACUAAAUUUAAAGUGAAAGUUGUGUUGCACUUUUUAUAGUUUUACUACCACUCAGCUAGUACUUUGAGUGUUUGUAGACAAACAUGAAAAACUAAAGGCAACUGUGGCAAUCUUCUGGCAAUCAAAGCAAUUUUAGCGGAGGAAAUUCUUUGCAGCUGAUUUCAUCGGGCGAGAGCCAGAAACCACCAGGUUUCCAUAGCAACUGUUGGUUGUAUCACAUCUAAUAUGAUGGAGAAACUCCAAGAAAUGUACUCAUGACGCCACGUGGAACACUGAAAUAAACCAAACUUCAGCCAUGACAACAUCUGAGAUGAUCCAUCCACAGAUUGAGUGGAGGUGUGCCCAGAUUUAAGAGCUAGAGCUUCCAAAGACGAUUCAGAUUCAGGCGCACGUGGUGACUUCUGGUAACCCGACCUCCCUCCAUCAUCACCCACUGGGUCUCAGUUUUCUGGCGGCGUUUCCUGCUCCUUGGCCGGGAUAAAAACUCUGACAGUCUUCCUGGAAGUAGACUGAAACCCCACGUUAGCUGCCGUCUGGGCGCGGCUGUUUUGGAGGAGCUCUGGAGUUUGAACAAAGCCCAACAUCUUUGGCGUAAACUCGCCCUAACUCUCCCGUCUGUCUCCCGACGACUCUCCGAGGAGCAGCUCCACUUUUCAUCUGGCGGGUGACAUCACAGAUGAACUCCGGGUCCCAUGGACUGCAUCUCGACUGAGAGAGAGAAGAAAAGUUGUUUAUGCACUUAAUAAACCAGAGUGAUGUCUGCAGAGUAAUGUAUGCGCGUUUUAGCCUGGAUUAUUCUCACUUUAAUGCAGCACAGUCAGGGGGAAGUGAAUUUCCUUGCACAGGCUCUAAGACAUAUUAGGCAUAUCACAAUAAAGGAUUACGCUCACUGAGAUUUAUAGCGAGCUACACACAUAAGAAUAUAUAAUUUCAUGCCUGCAUCUUUUAUAACUCUUAUUUAAGACAGUGCAGCCUUCAGCUAUGUGGACUGAGCCUUGUGUAAACUAAGCUUAGAGGGGAAGGCAUGAAUGCCCUUCUUUGUCUUCUAUUUUUCUUGUAAUGUGUCCAUUUGUUGUUACACUUGUUGGCUCUCUCUAUCUGGGCUGUAUUAACAA